rnacentral:sRNA from 1 species
UCGAACUUUGAGCAAGGAAAGGAGGAAGGGAGGGGGGGACUGUCGCUGGCUUUCAUUAGCAUGUGCACGUCUCACCCCGACCCCCGACCCCCGACCCCCGACCCCUUUGCUCUUUCUCUCACACCUGUGCACCCGCCGUAGGCCCUCGUCAACAAGAGGAUCUACGUUUUUCUCAUCACACCCAUCGCAUGUCCAUAGAAUGUAAAUGACUACGGUCAAUAAAUAAAUACAACUUUCAGCAACGGAUCUCUUGGCUCUCGCAUCGAUGAAGAACGCAGCGAAUUGCGAUAAGUAAUGUGAAUUGCAGAUUUUCAGUGAAUCAUCGAAUCUUUGAACGCACCUUGCGCUCCUUGGUAUUCCGAGGAGCAUGCCUGUUUGAGUGUCGUUGAAUUCUCAACCAUGUCUCGAUUUUCUUUCGAGCCAUGGCUUGGACUUGGGGGUUUGCUGGCAUCGAAAGAAGUCGGCUCUCCUGAAAUACAUUAGCGAAUCGUUAGCAAGUCUGACGGUGCACGGCCUUCCGACGUGAUAACGAUCGUCGUGGCUGGACCCGGUCGUUCGGACGAGCAUCCAACACUUUUCGCUUCCAAACCCACGAACCAGGAUCUAGGAUUAGCUACUAGUCGCGGCGAACGCAAUCCUAGACCCGAUCCACUUUCGA